rnacentral:lncRNA from 1 species
AAGUGAACGAGUUUUGCUGCGCAGAGGAAGCUUUCACUUGCCUCUCUUAGGAAGCAUCUAGGUCUAAAGUUCUGGAGCACCUGAUCAGGGUUGUUUAGCGAGUUCUCCAAACAUCAUCUCCAGAGUCAGAAUAGUAUCUUCAGGGAGCAUCAAGACACUGAAGAAAGAAGGUAUCAUCUUCUGGCAAAUGGGCUCUCAGUGUGAAAGCUGCCUCUGUCGGUAACCAGCUAUGUUUCACUAGACAUUCUGCUAAUCUCUCUGAGCUCCAGCUUUCCUUGAUUAGAAAAUUAAAAUGAAAGCACCUAAAUGCAAGAGUUGUUCUGAAGACAGAAUCCAUGUUGACUGAUGUAUGUGGUCAAGACUAGCAUCUCUGGAGGCUCCCUUUUUCCUUGUGCU